GAACGAACGCUGGCGGCGUGCCUAACACAUGCAAGUCGAACGAGAAUUUUCCUUUCGGGGAAAUAGUAAAGUGGCGCAAGGGUGAGUAACACGUGAAUAAUCUGCCUACGAAUUCGGGAUAACGCGGCGAAAGCUGUGCUAAUACCGGAUAAGACCACGUCUCUUAUGUGAUGUGGCCAAAGGAACCUCAAGUUCCGUUUGUAGAUGAGUUCGCGGACCAUUAGCUUGUUGGAGGGAUAACAGCCCCCAAGGCGACGAUGGUUAGCCGGCCUGAGAGGGUGAUCGGCCACACUGGAACUGAGACACGGUCCAGACUCCUACGGGAGGCAGCAGUGGGGAAUAUUGCGCAAUGGGCGAAAGCCUGACGCAGCAACGCCGCGUGAGGGAUGAAGGAUUUUGGUUCGUAAACCUCUGUCAAGUGGGAAGAAUACUGACGGUACCACUAAAGGAAGCCCCGGCUAACUCCGUGCCAGCAGCCGCGGUAAUACGGAGGGGGCAAGCGUUGUUCGGAAUCAUUGGGCGUAAAGAGUAUGUAGGCGGCUAUUUAAGUCAGACGUGUAAGCCCACGGCUCAACCGUGGAAUUGCGUUUGAAACUAUUUAGCUUGAGUGCAGGAGAGGAAGGCGGAAUUCCCAGUGUAGCGGUGAAAUGCAUUGAUAUUGGGAAGAACACCGGUGGCGAAGGCGGCCUUCUGGUCUGACACUGACGCUGAGAUACGAAAGCCAGGGGAGCGAACGGGAUUAGAUACCCCGGUAGUCCACGCCGUAAACGAUGGAUGCUAGUUGUCGGGAGUUAGGCUCUCGGUGACGUAGCUAACGCGUUAAGCAUCCCGCCUGGGGGAGUACGGCCGCAAGGUUAAAACUCAAAGGAAUUGACGGGGACCCGCACAAGCGGUGGAGCAUGUGGUUUAAUUCGAUGCAACGCGAAGAACCUUACCUGGUCUUGACAUACACGGAACUUUCCAGAGAUGGAUUGGUGCCUUCGGGAACCGUGAUACAGGUGCUGCAUGGCUGUCGUCAGCUCGUGUCGUGAGAUGUUGGGUUAAGUCCCGUAACGAGCGCAACCCUUAUCCUUAUUUGCCAGCACAUCAUGGUGGGAACUAUAAGGAGACUGCCGGUGAUAAACCGGAGGAAGGCGGGGACGACGUCAAGUCAUCAUGGCCCUUACGACCAGGGCUACACACGUGCUACAAUGGGAAGGACAAAGGGUUGCUAAGCCGCGAGGUGGUGCUAAUCUCAUAAACCUUUUCGUAGUCCGGAUCGGAGUCUGCAACUCGACUCCGUGAAGUCGGAAUCGCUAGUAAUCGUGGAUCAGAACGCCACGGUGAAUACGUUCCCGGGUCUUGUACACACC
rnacentral:rRNA from 1 species